ensembl:lncRNA
GCUUAGAGUGGCUCCUGGGAAUUCUUGAUUUCCCAGCAUCCCUAGUCUUCCACGUGGACAGGCAGAGAGGGCUUCAGAGGCCAGAGACCUCAGCCAAAGAAGAUAGUCACGUGAGCAGGCUGUGAUAAGUCUGGUCCACGUGCUAUGAAGUGAUGAGGGUACGAGGAUGUGGCUGAAUCACUAACAGCAUCUGCUGUAUUUUGUUAUUUUUAUUGCAUGAAGUUCUGUAACAUGAAGAGAGUUAGGAACACAUAUUCAUUGAUGUAGGAGAAAUCACUGCCAUUUGAUUUGUCAACCUAUAAUCAGUUCCCAGGGCUUGGAACCUAUCAUUCUUGUGUUGAAGGAUUCAUUUCUGGUGGAUGUUAGAGCAUCCAGGGACAUAUUUUAAAUUGGGAGCUAGAGAGUUCCAGAAAAACAUCUACUUCUGCUUUAUUGACUACGUCAAAGCCUUUCACUAUGUGGGUCACAACAAAUUAUGGAAAAUUCUUCAAGAGAUGGGAUUACCAGACCACCUUACCUGCCUCCUGAGAAAUCUGUAUGCAGAUCAAGAAGCAACAGUUAGAACUGGACAUGGAACAACAGACUGGUUCCAAAUUGGGAAAGAAUAUGUCAAGGCUGUAUAUUGUCACCCUGCUUAUUUCACUUAUAUGCAGAGUACAUCAUGCGAAAUCCUGGGCUGGAUGAAGUACAAGCUGGAAUCAAGAUUGCUAGGAGAAAUAUCAAUAACCUCAGAUAUGCAGAUGACACCACCCUUAUGGCAGAAAGUGAAGAACUAAAGAGCCUCUUGAAAGUGAAAGAGGAGAGUGAAAAAGUUGGCUUAAAACUCAACAUUCAGAAAGCUGAGAUCAUGGCAUCUGGUCCCAUCACUUCCUGGCAAAUAGAUGGGGAAACAAUGGAAACAGUGAGUGAUUUUAUUUUAUUUUUUUGGGCUCCAAAAUCACUGCAGAUGGUGACUGCAGCCAUGAAAUUGAAAGAUGCUUGCUCCUUGGAAGAAAAGCUAUGAUCAACCUAAAUAGCAUAUUAAAAAGCAGAGACAUUACUUUGCCGACAAAGUUCUAUCUAGUCAAAGCUAUGGUUUUCCAGUAGUCAUGUAUGGCUGUGAGAAUUGGACUAUAAAGAAAGCUGAGCCCCAGAGAAUUGAUGCUUUUGAAUUGCGGUGUUGGAGAAGACUCUUCAGCUUCCCUUGGUCUGCAAGGAGAUUAAACCAGCCCAUCCUAAAGGAAAUUAGUCCUGAAUAUUCAUUGGAAGGACUGAUGCUGAAACUGGAACUCCAAUACUUUGGCCACCUGAUGCCAACUGACUCAUUAGAAAAGACCCUGAUGCUGGGAAAGAUUGAAGGCAGGAGGAGAAGGGGACAACAGAGGGGAUCAAUUCAUUUCAGAAGCCAUUUCAUCAGCACUUGUGCUUGCUGCAAAUCAAUGGGCAGAUUGCCUGGAUUGGGCUUGAAGGCAAUUUAUUCUGGUGUCUCUACUGUUUGCUUUGUCUUGCUCUGAAUUCAGGCUGUGAAAGGUGAGUUGGCAUCAGCAGCCGGCUGUUCCCACCUCCAUCUGAAUGCCAGUCUUCUCAUCUAUUGACACAAGAAGAAAGUAAAUAAGGGAAUGUCCUCGGAAUUUUCUUUACACUAAACAUGUAAUUAGCCACUUACCCAUGAUGAGUAAAAUUUAAUUUCA